UACAGAGGGUGCGAGCGUUGUCCGGAAUCACUGGGCGUAAAGGGCGCGUAGGUGGCGCGACAAGUCAGUGGUGAAAGUUCGACGCUCAACGUCGAAUCGGCCACUGAUACUGUUGGGCUUGAGCACUGUAGAGGCUAAUGGAAUUCCUGGUGUAGCGGUGAAAUGCGCAGAUAUCAGGAGGAACACCGGUGGCGAAGGCGGGUCUCUGGGCCGAUACUGACGCUGGAGGAGCGAAAGCGUGGGGAGCGAACAGG
rnacentral:rRNA from 1 species